GACGAACGCUGGCGGCGUGCUUAACACAUGCAAGUCGAACGGAAAGGCCCCUUUGGGGGUACUCGAGUGGCGAACGGGUGAGUAACACGUGAGUAACCUGCCCUUGACUUCGGGAUAACUUCAGGAAACUGGGCUAAUACCGGAUAGGAAUCCUUGCUGCAUGGUGGGGGUUGGAAAGCUUCGGCGGUUUUGGAUGGACUCGCGGCUUAUCAGCUUGUUGGUGGGGUAGUGGCUUACCAAGGCUUUGACGGGUAGCCGGCCUGAGAGGGCGACCGGCCACAUUGGGACUGAGAUACGGCCCAGACUCCUACGGGAGGCAGCAGUGGGGAAUAUUGCACAAUGGGCGGAAGCCUGAUGCAGCAACGCCGCGUGCGGGAUGACGGCCUUCGGGUUGUAAACCGCUUUCAGCAGGGGCGAAGCUUGUGGUGACGGUACCUGCAGAAGAAGCACCGGCUAACUACGUG
rnacentral:rRNA from 1 species